rnacentral:rRNA from 1 species
UACGUAGGGGGCAAGCGUUGUCCGGAUUUAUUGGGCGUAAAGAGCGUGUAGGCGGCCAGACAGGUCCGUUGUGAAAACUAGAGGCUUAACCUCUAGACGUCGAUGGAAACCGUCUGGCUAGAGUCCGGAAGGGGAGAAUGGAAUUCCUGGUGUAGCGGUGAAAUGCGCAGAUAUCAGGAAGAACACCCGUGGCUAAGGCGGUUCUCUAGUACGGUACUGACGCUGAGACGCGAAAGCGUGGGGAGCGAACAGG